AAAAUGACAAUCUGAAAGGUUAACCACAGAUGACAGUGGGUUAUCAGUGUAUGUUGAGGAUUGAGCACCUUUCAACCAAGCUGAGAAUGCCACAGUACGAGCAGUAGAUAUAACAAUACAAACAAUAGUGAUACGGUAAAUGGCAUGACAUAAUUCUAAGUUAUAGUAUCUGGAUAAGCUGUCGUGUCCAAUCUGUUAAUAGACUAAGCGAAGUCCAGUCAGGAGUCACAAGCGUUGCCCAUAAAUGCAAAAAGUCUGACGUAUGGGUGCUACACAAAUGUCACCCUGCACUGGCUUGUCAUUAUUCAACCUAUUCCCAGACAUAGUUGGAGCAAGACAAGGCAUUCUUCCAGCCCGAGGUCCAAAUGGAGGCCAGGAUCUGCAUGCCAUGGACUUGUCUCUGAAAGUCCAUGUCCUUGCCACAUUGUGGGAAACAAGGCUUUGGUGGUCUUGUACUGC